GCCCAGGUGGCGAAAUUGGUAGACGCACUACCUUGAGGUGGUAGCAUCGCGAGAUAUGCUGGUUCAAAUCCAGUCCUGGGCACCA
rnacentral:tRNA from 1 species